AAAGUACUCCCUCCGUCCCAAAAUUCUUGUCUUAGAUUUGUCUAGAUACGGAUGUAUCAAGUCACAUUUUAGUAUUAGAUACAUCUGUAUCUAGACAAAUCUAAGACAAGAAAUUUGGGAUAGAGGGAGUAGUUG
rfam:Triticum aestivum genome assembly, contig: Triticum_aestivum_CS42_TGACv1_scaffold_569221_7AS